AUCGACCGCACGUCAACGGACUCUCAAGCGAGGCUUGUUUCUGUUUCAUCAUACCGCUCUGCCGCUCUCGGCGUGGAGGAAACAUAAACAAAGGAAAUGUACUACGUCGUAAAUUUUCUUGGGAAGAAUGAUAUUUCGGCAGUUCCUGCCUGUUGGGUGCGGAAUGACCGUUGUGCAUGGCCACCCUACAGAGGCAAACAAAUGACAAAAGCCAUCAAGGACUGUGAGCAACCUUGUCCUGACUGGGCCACGUUUCCAUGUCGAAUAAUGGGGUCAAGUUCAACAUAUGAAGAUGCAAAACGUAAAGAAAAAAAGGCGGAGGAGAUGUCGGAUCUAGCAACUGAAGAUGAAAGUUUGGCGAAAAGAAGAAGGAAGCGACCGCAGCACUUUCUUUCAUCAUCAGAUGAUGAAGACACCAAUUGGCAAGCUAUAGAGAGUGUAAAUUCUGCAGCGCCAUGCUCGGGAUUUGUCAGCCCUCCUGCUCCCCCAAGGAUGCCCCUAGCGCAAGUUCAACUUAACACUCGUCCAACGCCCCUACCCCAAGAAUAUGCUCGAGAGCCCAGGCGAAAACACUCGUCAUUCCAGGAACAGGUGCUCAGCCAGCUAAAAAAUAUGGCGGCACAGCUUGAGAGCCAUGGGAAGAUCCUGAAGCAGAUGGAGAUGCGUCAGCAGGGGGCAAGGACGGACACUCCUAACAAGCUCUCCGUCAGACCUGAGAUCUACCAGCUUUUCCCACUGGCCACGCAUGAGGAUCUACUUUGCUUGGAGGACCAUCUUAAAGACGGAGAAAAUAAGGAGGCCCUGAUCUUGCAUUUCGCACUUCUUGGAGGCUCAACGGUAGUAGACGUGACCCGCCAGGUGAUGAGGCGGUGCAUGCUUGACAGCCUCGCACAGAACUAUUGUGUGACCGGCAGGAAGGGGAAGAAGCCCAUGAGAGACCUUGGACUCCUUGGUGUCGUGAUAGGAGCUGUGCGCACCUGCUUUAAGCAGAAGGCACAGAACGGUGAGCCAGCCAUCACCGUUCAGGAAGCCGACGUCAAACGGGCUGUUGCAGAAUGGGUGAGGCACGCACCUGCGAGGACCAAGAAAAUGGAACAGCGUGCCUCUUCCCAGGAGUGACUGGGGGGCUGCCACAAGGGGAGAAGGCAAGCAUGUUUCUGAUUACAAGAAUGCACAGUUGGGCUAGGCUAGUUGCCAUCCCAUGAGUACAGAGUGCCUGUUGUUCAAAUUUUUUUAUUGCAAUUUGUAAUAUGCAUAUGUCACCUUUCAUUUCUAUUCAUGCAUACAUUUUAGCCCCAGCUAGUGUUUUUUUUAAAUUUAAUUUAUGUACACAUUUGUAUGGUAUUUUUAGAGCUUUUAAAAUUUUUGUUUUUUUUCUAGUCAUUUUAUGUUGCUUGGAGUUUUGAUAUUUGCAGUUUUAUUUUCAUGCAGAUCAGCCUCGUAGUUUAGUGUGUUCUUUAUGAUUUUUGUAGAUAUAAUAGCUUGUAAGAAACAAGAUUACUUUGGUACUUGUAAUGUUUGUUUUGUUUUUGAAAUAAAUUUAUUCCAAUAACUUGUUUUCUUCCGUUGUCCUGCUUCUAGGACUUCAAAUUUUUGAUUCAUUAAUGGCAU